ACGGUGAGGCUUGUAGCUGCUGUGAGGAGGCCUAGGGUUUUUGGGGUCCGCCGAAAAUUAGGCACCGUCUAACGAGAGGCAAGACAAACUCUCUUUAACAGUCGGCAAAGAGGGCCUGGGAUCAAAGAGUGGGUCAGAGCCAGGUCAGACUUCCUCGUCGAAAGGAGAGCGAGUUCGAAGUCGAAGUCGGACAAGAUAAACGGCUAUAAAUAGAUGGCAUUGGACGCCAUUGCGGGAUUCCAAGCCUGGUCGACAGCAUUGGAUUUUGUUCUCCAAGUGUCCUCUAUAGUGUCAGCCGUAGUUGAAUAUUCAAAGAAAGAAAAAAGAGAAAAACCAUAUAAAUACAAUAACUAGUGAAAAGUAGCCAGGAAGUGAGACGGUGAUUAGUGAAACCUCUUCGAUACACCCUUUCGACGGGUCACCCGUUUGGGUCUUAAAUUGGAGGAGGCUCGUCUUCCACGACCGCCAGCUGAAAUUCGUAGAAAUUCGCCGGAGCUUUGGGUCGUCGCCUUGGAGCAGUUCGGCGAGCCAGAGAGGAGAGGCCAACUAGUGCCCGGCAGACGGCAGCCGCGUCGGCUUGUUCAUCGCUCCGCGUAUGCGUCCAUACCCCGUGCGCAUGGGAGGAGGCAAAGAAAAAAAAGUGUUCUUCAGUGGCGACAAAUAGUGGCAGAUCGAGUGUUGUGCUUUCCGUCCGGUUUCAUAUGGCUUAUUGACACGCAUUAAAUGUAGAAUAAUAAUAGGGUAGGCCUCAGCUUAGGAGCAAAUAAACAAGAACACCACACUCGUGGCCGACGAGCCAGUAGCCGGAAAAUUGACAGCGUGCCGCUUCAAGCUGAGAGGACCAUCUCGCCUACAUCGUGGUUGCACGUGACAUUUAUUAUUAUUUUUGGCGCCCAACGUGGGGCCACACUGUUAGGUGGGAAUUAUUACAAUUUGUACUUAGGGGUGUGGUUCACGAACAAUGACCUAAAACAAACCUUCACUUUUAAAAUUUUCCUUCCAUCGACUGUUCGAUGUCUUUAUUGAAGACAAAGAAACGCAAAUCAUUUCCGCUUUCAUUCAGUUCUCUUACGGAUCUUUGGAACACCGAUAGAAAACUAAGCCCCAGGGUAUGUUUCCGGGCCACGAUUCUAAGGGUUCUGAGUGAGUUUGACUUAUUUCUGUACAAAUAGCCUGAUUGUCGUGAUUAAUAGGAAUACUACUAGAAUAGCUUUAAGAAGCUAUCUGUU